AACGUAGGAGACAAACGUUAUCCGGAGUUACUGGGCGUAAAGGGCGUGUAGGUGGUUACGUAAGUCUGGCGUGAAAUUUCUCGGCUUAACCGAGGCAGGUCGUCGGAUACUGCGAGACUAGAGGACGGUAGAGGCGUGUGGAAUUCCGGGUGUAGUGGUGAAAUGCGUAGAGAUCCGGAGGAACACCAGUGGCGAAGGCGACACGCUGGGCCGUACCUGACACUGAUGCGCGACAGCAUGGGGAGCAAACAGG
rnacentral:rRNA from 1 species